UACGUAGGGUGCAAGCGUUGUCCGGAAUUAUUGGGCGUAAAGAGCUCGUAGGCGGUUUGUUGCGUCGGCUGUGAAAUCCCGAGGCUCAACCUCGGGUCUGCAGUCGAUACGAGCAAACUAGAGUGUUGCAGGGGAGACUGGAAUUCCUGGUGUAGCGGUGAAAUGCGCAGAUAUCAGGAGGAACACCGGUGGCGAAGGCGGUUCUCCUGGGCAGUGUCCUGACGCUGGAGGAGCGAAAGCAUGGGGAGCGAACAGG
rnacentral:rRNA from 1 species